CCUACGGGAGGCUGCAGUGGGGAAUUUUGCGCAAUGCUCGUAAGAGUGACGCAGCGACGCCGCGUGAAUGACGAAGGCCUUCGGGUCGUAAAGUUCUUUCGACAGGGAAGAAAAUGCCUAUAAGUAACUGUGUAUGUAUUGACGGUACCUGUAUAAGCAGCCCCGGCUAACUCCGUGCCAGCAGCCGCGGUAAUACGGAGGGGGCGAGCGUUGUUCGGAGUGACUGGGCGUAAAGAGCACGUAGGCGGUGUUGUAAGUCAUUGAUCAAAGACUAGAGAUCAACUUUAGUAAGGCUAGUGAUACUAUAAUACGAGAGUAUCAGAGAGGAUUGCAGAAUUCCUGGUGUAGCGGUGAAAUGCGUAGAUAUCAGGAGGAAUACCGUUAGCGAAGGCGGCAAUCUGGCUGGAAACUGACGCUGAGGUGCGAAAGCGUGGGUAGCAAACAGGAUUAGAUACCCUUGUAGUC
rnacentral:rRNA from 1 species